rnacentral:rRNA from 1 species
UGAGGAACAUGACUUUCGGCGGGGGAUAGCCGGCCCAACGGCCGGGUAAUACCGCGUACGACCUUUCGGGGACAUCCCUGGAUGGUGAAAGCAGCAAUGCGCCGAUGGAGUGCCUCGCGGCCUAUCAGCUAGUUGGUGAGGUAACGGCUCACCAAGGCGACGACGGGUAGCCGGCCUGAGAGGGUGACCGGCCACACUGGGACUGAGACACGGCCCAGACCUCCUACGGGAGCAG